rnacentral:rRNA from 1 species
GACGAACGCUGGCGGCGUGCUUAACACAUGCAAGUCGUACGGUAAGGCCCUUUCGGGGGUACACGAGUGGCGAACGGGUGAGUAACACGUGAGUAACCUGCCCACAACUUUGGGAUAACGCUAGGAAACUGGUGCUAAUACUGGAUAUGUGCCCCUGCUGCAUGGUGGGGGUUGGAAAGCUCCGGCGGUUGUGGAUGGACUCGCGGCCUAUCAGCUUGUUGGUGGGGUAGUGGCCUACCAAGGCGGCGACGGGUAGCCGGCCUGAGUGGGUGACCGGCCACAUUGGGACUGAGAUACGGCCCAGACUCCUACGGGAGGCAGCAGUGGGGAAUAUUGCACAAUGGGCGCAAGCCUGAUGCAGCAACGCCGCGUGCGGGAUGACGGCCUUCGGGUUGUAAACCGCUUUCAGCAGGGACGAAGCUUUUUGUGACGGUACCUGCAGAAGAAGCACCGGCUAACUACGUG